rnacentral:lncRNA from 1 species
CCAUUGUUAUGGUUUAUGCUGAUCUGUACAAUUUAUUCAAUGCUUUAAUUGCAAUUAUUUAUUGAUGAGCUCAGGUAGUUUUUAGUUUUCUCCUUAUACUUUUAGAUGCACUAUGACUUGAGUGUUCAGAUAAGGUUUAAGAAUUUAUGGAUAUCUUAGGGUUAGGAUUUUGAGUUAAGGAUGACAUGGGAAUAUUUCAACUGUCUAGGUUUUUUUAGGAUCUUUUUUGUAGCACGACAUAUUUUGUAGUAACAACAUUUCGGCAGCUCAUGCAUAUGGAGUAUAUAUCUCCCAGUUGAAACAUUAUUCCAGAGUUUGCAUUUUUAAUAGAGGGUUGCUACUUACAAGGAAAGCCACUAAACCAGUGUUCAAAGUGGGAAUAAUGAAGCCAUCCCUUUGAAAGUUAUAGGAAUGCCAUUAGUUGUUGGACCGUUAUGGAAUAUUUGUGCCAUGGAUAUGCUUAAAUUGUCAUAACCACAGUCCUGUUCUUUGGUUGUGACAUCACCUGAUAAUUCUCAUCUCACCUUUGUACAGGUAUCCCUACUGGAGCAGGAUCUGUUUACCUGAGCACCUGAGAUUGUCCCUUAUUUUAGGUGUCUUUAUUGCUCUUUCAUUAAUAGCGUUUUGUGAACUUGUUUAUUUUUGAUAUGAUGUUUCUCUACUUAUAGGUUUUUAAAAUUGUCCUUGGAAUAUUUUUUUAUAUUGUAGUUAAAGAAAACCCUUCAUGGUAAGAAACAAAUUUUGUACAGCACUUUUGUUUGUUAUGUCUAUUGUUGAACAUUUCAUGUAUAACAUUUUUCAACUUUUAUAAAUACACUUUGGUGAUUUUUUCAAUACCUUUAAGGUUUUACGUAUUAUAGAAUAUUCAAACUGUUCAAACUUUUCCAUUACACUGC